rnacentral:rRNA from 1 species
GAUGAACGCUGGCGGCGUGCCUAAUACAUGCAAGUCGAGCGAACAGAUGAGGAGCUUGCUCCUCUGACGUUAGCGGCGGACGGGUGAGUAACACGUGGAUAACCUACCUAUAAGACUGGGAUAACUUCGGGAAACCGGAGCUAAUACCGGAUAAUAUAUUGAACCACAUGGUUCAAUAGUGAAAGACGGUUUUGCUGUCACUUAUAGAUGGAUCCGCGCCGCAUUAGCUAGUUGGUAAGGUACGGCUUACCAAGGCAACGAUGCGUAGCCGACCUGAGAGGGUGAUCGGCCACACUGGAACUGAGACACGGUCCAGACUCCUACGGGAGGCAGCAGUAGGGAAUCUUCCGCAAUGGGCGAAAGCCUGACGGAGCAACGCCGCGUGAGUGAUGAAGGUCUUCGGAUCGUAAAACUCUGUUAUUAGGGAAGAACAAAUGUGUAAGUAACUAUGCACGUCUUGACGGUACCUAAUCAGAAAGCCACGGCUAACUACGUG